UGGCUGGGCAUGAUAAGUGCUGUAAAUCAUAUAUUAAUUAUUAACAUGUACAUGUCUUUUAAUUAUUAAAUUACCUAGGGAGUAAACACUGAUAUCAAUUUGAUCCAUUUUACACCAUUUCUGCCUAACAUGCACUCUUAAGAUUUAAAGUUUACUAGGCCAGUUAGUGGUAUGAAAACUAUUACAGGAUUACCCAUGUUUAUUUUUACUCAUAUAUUUC
rnacentral:lncRNA from 1 species